GUCUGUAUUAGUCAGCAUUGGCUUGGCUCUCUGAAACUGUCAAAAGUAGCUCAAAGCAGCAAAAACGUUAUUUCACUCUACUGCAGCAGCAGCGGCCCAAGUGUGGGGAGGAGGAGAAGCUGCGUUCAGACCAUCACAACCAGAGACCUAGGGCUGCCGAGGGAGUGGCUGGUGUGACCGGCAUGGUUCCUGCAGGAGGAAGAACCCACUCCUAAUACACAGGGCAGAGGAGAAGAAGCUUACACAACCUAUAUUGUUACAUGAAAAGAGGAAAACAUUUCGAAAUCUGGAGCCAGAAUCCUUUUAAGAUCGUGACAUCACUUACGGAGGGUGUUUCGCUCUUCACAGUGCAGCUGCCGUCACAUCCCUUUGAACUUACGUUCCAUGUAGCAGCUGUAAAGAAAUUGCAGAGGGAAAAGGGCGUAAGCUAGCCGCCCUGUCACAGGAGCAUUUUUUGAUGCCCGACCAGACAACUUCUACUGACGUGCUGGACCAUCUAAUAAAGGAGCUGGAAGAUGCAA